rnacentral:tRNA from 1 species
GGGGAUGUGGCUCAAGUUGUAGAGCGCUUGCCUGGCAUGCAUGUGGCCCGGGUUCGAUCCUCAGCACCA